UACGAAGGGGGCUAGCGUUGCUCGGAAUUACUGGGCGUAAAGGGCGCGUAGGCGGACAGCUUAGUCAGAGGUAAAAGCCCAGGGCUCAACCUUGGAACUGCCUUUGAUACUGGCUGUCUUGAGUUCGGGAGAGGUGAGUGGAAUGCCGAGUGUAGAGGUGAAAUUCGUAGAUAUUCGGCGGAACACCAGUGGCGAAGGCGACUCACUGGCCCGAUACUGACGCUGAGGCACGAAAGCGUGGGGAGCAAACAGG
rnacentral:rRNA from 1 species